rnacentral:tRNA from 1 species
GCUGGAAUGGUCUAGUUGGUUAUGACGACUGUCUAACAUGCAGGAGGUCUCGAGUUCGAUUCUCGGUAUCGGUA